AGUCAAGUCGGCAAGGCGGUCUUCCAAUGCUACCCCCGCGGCUUGCUUAAUCGUGGUCAAUUAGUUCUUAUGGGUGUUUGUAAGGUUCAUUGCGAUGGGUUAAACUCAUUUCGUUGUGCUACUUAGCCUUAAGCGCAGAUCGUACGCAAAAUAAACCAUAUUUAUAUAAUUUCUGCGAGGCUUAUAUUUCAUCUCUGCAAUGGCCAGGAGAAACUGGGGAUCCGGCUCUCUUUGGUUGUGAUAUCUGUUGAAUGGUUUUCUUUGUACAAUUGAUGGAAUACACUAGCGCAAUUUGUGAACAAAGCUCAUGAGAACAUCCAGGCUUUAAGAACUGAUGCAGGUAGCAUCUGCUCAUAAGAACAUACAUGCUGUCAAGCUUCCGGUGGCACCGCAGGUCGUUGAUGGCAGUCUUUUCUUAGACCACCAGCCCCGUGAUCGCAUAGAGCCGCUCAGACAGCGCAAAUCAGCUGCCUGGCAGCUCGGAAACCUUUCCCUCGGGCAAAGAGGGAAUGGUGAGCAAUUGAGCUGAGGUAGAGCUCCCUGAAAAGCCCCAGGAAUGAUUCUGGAGGCUUGAGGGUGAGAGCUCCCUCAUAAGCUUGGCAAGCUCCGGAUCCGGGACGCCUCUGCCUUGAGCAGAGCAAAACGCCACGACCACGUCUGUGACCAAUAUUGAAGUUGGAACAGAUUUUCUUUUACCAGACGGAGCAAAAUCAGGAGUACUGUAGUGGCAAGUAACAAGAGUUUAACUCCUCAGUUACAAUAUAAUUUUUCUGAAACGAUCUAAGAAGAAGAAAGGGAAUGGCAUUGUUGUAACAAGGCAUGAAAGCAAAACUUAAGGAAAUGCCUGUUAAAGCUGUCGGCGCCGAUGUUACACAAAGACAAAAGAUUGCAAAUAAUAAAUUUUAAUUUUUUUAGUUAAAGUAUAUUUUUUCUCUUGAAAUGACUUACUGAAUGCUUGAGAUGCUAUGUAAUCUUAUUUUCUGCCUGCUCCAUGAGGUAGAUGUGAAAUGACUUAAAAAGAGGAAAGGAAAUGGUGUCUUUGUUGCAAUAAGGUGUGAAAGUGAAAGUUAAAGAGGUGCUUUUUAAAGCUGCCGGCGCUGAUAUUAUACAAAGAGGUUAAGCCCAAGGAGUGAAUAAGAACUGAUCUAUUUAAUUUAAUUACUGUGUUGAAGAGAGGAUCUGAAGAAGAUUCAUUGAUUUUUUUUUCUUUUUCUUUUUCUUUUUGUAGUGUACAAAGUUUAAUAAGAAAUGGCUUUUAAGCAAACGAAGCUAAGUGUUUCUAAGGACUUUGAAAUCUCGCUAGCUCAAAUACACAAACUAAAAGAAGAUCUGAAGGAAUAUUUAAAAGGCUUGAUAGACCAAAAAUUUAGUGAAAUUGAAAAAGAAAUAUUGGAACUAAAAAAUACGGUGGAAGUCUGGAAUAAGGAUAUGGAAAGUGUGGUGGCAGCAUGUCAAUGUUUUUCACAAAAUAUCAUCCAGUUGGACGAAAGAAUGGAAGAAAUUAAUCAAUUUAAUUUGAAUUUGGAAAAGAAAAUAGAGGAGGUUCAGAAUAAUCAAGCUAAUUUGAAUUUGGAAAAUAAAAUAGAGGAGGGUCAGAAUAUUCAAGUUAAUUUGAAUUUGGAAAAUAAAAUAGAGGAAGUUCAGACUAAGGUGGAUAAGGCGGAUGAAGAAAUGGUUAUAUUGCAAUAUAAUCUGAUGGAGUAUGCUUUGAGAGUGAGAGGUUUGAAGGAAAAUAAGUAGGAGAAUUUGAAAAAGAUUUUUUCACAGGCUUUUGCACAGAUAACUGGAGAGCAGUCAGCAGAUUUUGAAGUCCAUAUUGAAAAAAUCUGUCGGGUUAAUUCUUGGUUUGCCAGACAAAGGCAGCUACCAAGAGAUGUUGUGAUUUACUUCACAACCAAGAAGAUUAGAAAUGGAAUUUUACAAGCAUUUUAUAAAAAUAAAAUUUAAAUAGUAGGACAAGAUGUGUUAGUGAUGAAAGAAAUUCCUUUUAAAAUGCUAAGAAAUAGAAAGGAGUUUGCUUUUUUGGUGGAAGAACUUAGGAAACAUCAGAUACAGUAUAGGUGGGAUGCUCCAGCUGGUUUAACAGUAUAUUAUAAAGCAAGAAAGUUUCAUCUUAAUACAGUUGUUAAAGCAAGAGAUUUUUAUACUAAUGUAUUAAAUCCCCCACUGUUAGAGGUUAAGAUGAGAACAGGAGUGGAGAGGGAAAAAAGGUGGGAGAAGGAAGUAAAACAUAUACAAGAUAACUUUGGGAGUGCAAUUAUUGAAGAAGAAACAUUGGGAAAAGUAGGGGAUACAGAGAAGCAAAGAUUGAGCUGGGAGGAAAGAAGAAUAGUUUUAAGCGAAGAGAGUCUUCUUUUUAUGGGAAAGGAUAAAUUAUAAUUGAAAUAUUUGAAUAUAAUAUAUGAACAAAGGUCAAUUUAUAUAUGAUUUCUGUAAAAAUGUUAUUUGGAGUUUGUAAAAAAUUUAUCUGUAUUUGUUUGAAUGUAUAAUUUAAAUGGAGAUUUUAUUACAUAUGGUUGAAUUGUUAAUAAUUGAAUUAAAAUAUUUGGUAAUUUAUAAUGAUGGAUGGGGAAGAAGGAUUGAACGUAAAUGUAAAUGGUACUGUCUGAAUUUAUAAUCUAAAUGUUGGAGUGACCGUAGUAAUGCUAUCUGAUUAUUUAAGAUUUGGGGUUAAAUAAGGUAAUGAUAAUAGAAUAAGAGAUGGAGAAUUAUUUGUAAAAUGAUAUUUGUAAAAUGAUAUUAUUAUUAUGUAUGAUGGAUUACAAAUAUGGUGGAUUAUACAAGACAUUAUUUUGAAGAAUAAUAGGGAGUAAAUUGACUUUAAAUCUAAUAUUAUCAGAUGGAUUUUUGAUAUGAAACUUUAGUGUACUUAAAAGACUACUUAUGAAAGAAGAUUGGAAUGGAGAAGAAGGAUUGAAAACAGCGUAAUAUUAUUAUUAUGCAUGAUGGAUUUAAAAAUCUGGUGAAUUAUACAAGAUAUUAUUUUAAAGAAUAAUAGGGGGUAAAUUGACUCUAAAUUUAAUAUUGAUAGUUGGACUUUUGCCAUUGAAAUAUUGGAAGAUGGAAUACUGUACUUAAAAGACUGUUUAUGGAAGAAUAUUGGAAUGGAGAAGAGGGACUGAAAAUAUUUUAUGAAUGGAUAGAAUAUCUUUAUUCUUUUAUUCUUUUCUUUUUUCUUUUUCUUUAGGAUGAGAGGAGUUAAGGUACUAGGGGAGGGAUGGAAAUUUAAGGAUUGUUUGCUUAUUUUAGUUUAUGCUUGUUAGGUGUUAUAUCCUGUA